rnacentral:rRNA from 1 species
CCGAACUCAGAAGUGAAACGCCGUAGCGCCGAUGGUAGUGUGGGGUCUCCCCAUGUGAGAGUAGGGAACUGCCAGGC